ACAGGUGCUGCAUGGCUGUCGUCAGCUCGUGUCGUGAGAUGUUGGGUUAAGUCCGUAACGAGCGCAACCCUUGUCCUUAGUUACCAGCACGUUAUGGUGGGCACUCUAAGGAGACUGCCGGGUGACAAACCGGAGGAAGGUGGGGGAUGACGUCAAGUCAUCAUGGCCCUUACGGCCUGGGCUACACACGUGCUACAAUGGUCGGUACAAAGGGUUGCCAAGCCGGCGAGGUGGAGCUAAUCCCAUAAAACCGAUCGUAGUCCGGAUCGCAGUCUGCAACUCGACUGCGUGAAGUCGGAAUCGCUAGUAAUCGUGAAUCAGAAUGUCACGGUGAAUACGUUCCCGGGCCUU
rnacentral:rRNA from 1 species